rnacentral:lncRNA from 1 species
AUGGGGGACUUCAACCACCCCGAUAUCUGCUGGAAAGACAACACAGCUAGGCACAAACAGUCCCGGAGGUUCCUGCAGAGCAUUGGUGACAACUUCUUGACACAGAUGGUGGAGGAGCCAACRAGGAGAGGUGUGCUGCUGGACCUCGUACUAACAAACAAAGAAGGACUGGUGGAAGAUGUGAAGGUUGGGGGCUGCCUUGGCUGCAGUGACCAUGAGAUGGUGGAGUUCAGGAUCCUGCGAGGAGGCAGCAGGGCACCAAGUAGGAUCGCAACCCUGGACUUCAGGAGAGCAAACUUUGGCCUCUUCAGGGACCUACUUGGAGGAAUCCCAUGGGUUAGGGCCCUAGAAGGAAGGAGUGUUCAAGAGAGCUGGUUAAUAUUCAAACAUCACUUCCUCCAGGCUCAAGAGCGGUGCAUCCCUAUGAGUAGGAAGUCAAGCAAAGGAGGCAGGAGACCUGCAUGGAUGAGCAAGGAGCUCCUGGCAAAACUCAGCCAGAAGAAGGAAGUAUACAGAAAGUGGAAAGGGGGACAGGCCACUUGGGAGGAAUAUAGGAACGUUGUCAGAGUAUGCAGGGAUGCAACGAGGAAGGCUAAGGCCCGUUUGGAAUUAAAUCUGGCGAGAGAUGUCAAGGACAGCAAGAAGGGCUUCUUCAAAUACAUCAGCAGCAAGAGGAAGACUAGGGAAAAUGUGGGCCCUUUGCUGAAUGGGGUGGGUGCCCUGGUGACGAAGGAUACAGAGAAGGCAGAGUUACUGAAUGCCUUCUUUGCUUCAGUCUUUACUGCUCAGGCCAGCCCUCAGGAACCCCAGAUCCUGGAGGCAAGAGAGAAAGUCUGGAGAGAGGAAGACUUUCCCUUGGUGGAGGAGGAGUGGGUUAGAGAUCAUUUAAGCAAACUUGACACCCACAAAUCCAUGGGCCCUGAUGGGAUGCACCCACAAGUGCUGAGGGAGCUGGCGGACAUUAUUGCUAAGCCACUCUCCAUCAUCUUUGAAAGGUCAUGGAGGACAGGAGAGGUGCCUGAGGACUGGAAGAAAGCCAGUCACCCCAGUCUUCAAAAAGGGCAAGAAGGAGGACCCAGGGAACUACAGGCCAGUCAGCCU